rnacentral:rRNA from 1 species
UACGUAGGGGGCGAGCGUUGUCCGGAAUUAUUGGGCGUAAAGCGUGCGCAGGCGGUUCGUUGUGUCGGUGGUGAAAGCCCCGGGCUUAACCUGGGAAUGGCCAUGGAAACUGGCGAACUGGAGUGUGGCAGAGGGGGGUGGAAUUCCGCGUGUAGCAGUGAAAUGCGUAGAGAUGCGGAGGAACACCGAUGGCGAAGGCAGCCCCCUGGGCUAGCACUGACGCUCAGGCACGAAAGCGUGGGGAGCAAACAGG